rnacentral:lncRNA from 1 species
AUCUAGCAAAGAAUUGUUAGCGCUAAUCAUUAAUUUUAAAAACUCGAGUUAUCAAAAAAUGCAACCAAUUAAUUCUCAUAAAACAUACACAAGGUGUCCAUGGAUCUCGAUUAUAAUUCAGUCCAACCAACCUCGCGCCACUGGAACAUAACUAGACCUAAUCCGGUCUCCCGUCAUUCCAAACGCGACUCGACUCAACCUGACCUCCUAUCAAAGAGUA